CUUCCUCGUGUCUUGAGAGAAAAGGAUCCUGAAACUGCUGUUUUGUUUCCAUUAACAUGAAUGAUGCACCCUACAUUUUCCCUAACCUCUAACCUGAUGGAAUGACUAAACAAACAGUAGUUUGAAUUCUUCUUUUCUUUAAUAAACUCUCGAAUUUCAGGAGGGCCGGCGUAUUUCUGUGUCAGAAGUGGUGACGGAUCUCAAAUCUCUGUAGGAAUAGUAUUUCAUGUGCCAUGUGGUUUGCAAAACAGCUGCCAAUAAAAAGCCCUAUUGUAUGUAUGUGACCUGCACACGUAACAAGAGACUGUCACAGAAUUUUUACAGCCCAAACAGACAAAGGACGGGAGAAGAAAUAGAGGCACAAACUGUAUUCUGCGAUCAAGAUCUCCCAGAAUCUUUGGAAGAGCCAGGUCAUCUAGGCUCCAUGCUUGCCAGACUCCUAGUCCUUUGGAAAGUUCUUCAAAGUCAAAUAUGUGUUUACAAGGUGAGCUUGCAGGUGCUGUAAGAAGUUCUGAGAUAAUGUGCUCGUCUCCUUCGGUGCAGCUGCCUAUUUCUAGCAGAAGAAUUGAAUUAAUUGAAUAUUUGAAGAAUUGCUUAACUGAAUAUUUAAAGCUGCUUGUCAGGAUACUUAAGAUGAGAACUGUGUCAGCCACUCCUGAUAACAGAGAGCCUUGGGCCUGGUGGAUGGGGAGAACAGCUUGGAAAGGUGGCGAAGUGCAGUGAAAAGUCACCUCUUCAAACUGCAAGUAUAAUCUGCUGCAAAGGUGUGGAAAUGCAAACAUAAAUCAUUUCUACUGUUUCUUGUCUCAGAGGAGCGUGAGUGCUGUACAAAAAACAAUGACUGUACUUGUAACUGAAUGCUUUAUUUUAUGUAUGUUCUCAUCUAAUAUGUUCGCAGUAUGUACAUUGUACAUGUAACACUAUACAAAUUUCUAUAUAAUGAUUUAUUAGAAACCCACAUCUUUAGAAAACUGAUAUUUUAC
rnacentral:lncRNA from 1 species